rnacentral:misc_RNA from 1 species
CCCACGCUGUUACGAAAUUUCCUAGUCAAACCCCUCCACAUGGGCUCCGGCUCUUCUCUUGGGAGACGCAGUAGCGCGUCUCCGCUUGCUUCACGUCGCUCACGCACGCGAUAUUUAUAUGGCAAUGAUAUGCGCCUCUGCCCCGUCUCGGAGGUAAGCGAGCAAACGUUAUUCUGCAACCCAUUAUCACGUCGAGUGCUUGCCGCAUCGUUUCGUGCACACGAUGAUAGCAGCGAUUCCUUGUCGUCAGCAUUCCUAUCGCUGUGGAGGACGUCUCCUAUCGGGGAUCUUCUUCUUCUCUCAGAAGCCGUCGCGAACGAUGAGAGGGAGCGUCGUCGGAGCUCACAGCAACGGCGCUGUACGGCGCAUGUGCAGGGCGUCGUGGGCGCGUUCUGCAGAGGCAGCAAUGUUGACUUUUCGGCGCAAAUGUACAAAAGCUUUUUCGAGCUCGCCAUGGAUCAGCGUCGCAUGCAGCUUCAGCAGCAGAGGCGUUUUUGCUGAUGGCACCGCUUGUGGUGGUGUGAGCCUUGAUGGCCACAGCACGGUUCUUUUUUUUUGCCUUUUGCCAGGAGCGUGGCGUAAGAUGAGGUGGCCGCGGCAUCUUGGCGCCGUGAGUGAUGGGGCUGUGUGCGCGCUGUCCGUGCACGCCCACAGAAAGCGCCCCCACGCAGCGUUCUCCUCCCCUUCCAUUCUUUCACAACUCAGACACCCGCCAUCUGCAUCUGCCCCGCCGGCUGUAGUGCUGCUGUCGCGCUUGCCUGAGUUGUGUUCUUUUUCGUGUGUCGGUAUUGUGGAUGCUGCGGUCGGGGACGCGCAAGCACAGGCACACGUGAGGACGUAAUGAUGGUUGCUGCUACUCUUUGCUCUUCUUUUCUCGCUGCUAAUCGACGAAGAAUUGUUGCCACCAAUCACGUGCGAUGGUGUCCCGUAAGAGACGCGCACAUCUUAUUGCACGCAGCAAGUCGUUAUGUUUUGGUGCUUUUGAGGUGUACGUAGGUAAUGGCGCGCUGCUGCUGCAUUCGAGACG